rnacentral:rRNA from 1 species
UACGUAGGGGGCAAGCGUUAUCCGGAUUUACUGGGUGUAAAGGGAGCGCAGACGGAACUGCAAGUCUGAUGUGAAAGCCCGGGGCUCAACCGCGGGACUGCAUCGGAUACUGUGGAUCUGGAGUGCCGGAGGGGCAAGCGGAAUUCCUGGUGUAGCGGUGAAAUGCGUAGAUAUCAGGAGGAACACCGGGGCGGAAGGCGGCUUGCUGGACGGCAACUGACGUUGAGGCUCGAAAGCGUGGGGAGGCAAACAGGAUUAGAUACCCUGGUA